GGGCUUGACAUCCCACGAACCUGCCUGAAAGGGCGGGGUGCCCGCAAGGGAGCGUGGAGACAGGUGGUGCAUGGCUGUCGUCAGCUCGUGUCGUGAGAUGUUGGGUUAAGUCCCGCAACGAGCGCAACCCUCACCCCUAGUUGCCACCGGGUUAAGCCGAGCACUCAAGGGGAACUGCCAGCGUCAAGCUGGAGGAAGGCGGGGAUGACGUCAAGUCAUCAUGCCCCUUACGCCCUGGGCUACACUCGUGAAACAAUGGCCAGUACAAAGGGACGCGAGACUGCGAAGUGGAGCUAAUCCCAAAAAGCUGGUCUAAGUUCAGAUUGCAGUCUGCAACUCGACUGCAUGAAGGAGGAAUCGCUAGUAAUUGCGCAUCAGCCCGGCGCGGUGAAUACGUUCCCGGGCCUUGUACACACCGCCCGUCACACCACGAAAGCUGUCUGUACUCGAAGUCGCUGAG
rnacentral:rRNA from 1 species